AUGGCAGCAGAUUUCUUUAGCCACCAUGCCAGGGACCUACACAAUAGAAAGCUGAGGAUCCCCUUACACAUCCAACGAGGCCUCUGCCCAUCAGUCUCACUGACAGCUCAGUCCGAAUCCCAGAGCAGGAAUUGGGUGUGGAGGCUUCUGUUCCUUCUGGCAGAUGCCCAAGGAACCCACUCACAGGUCCAUCUGACACAGUCUGGGGCUGAGCUGAAGAAGCCUGGAGAGACAGUGAAGAUCUCCUGCAAGGCUUCAGGCUACACCUUCACCAGCUAUGGAAUGAACUGGGUGAAGCAGGAAGCAGGAAAAGGCUUGCAGUACAUAGGGUGGAUCAACACUGCGAAUGGCAAUACAGGCUAUGCUGAGGGCUUCAAAGGUCGGUUUGUCAUCUCCAUGGACGCCUCCGUCAGCACCGCAUAUCUGCAGAUCAGCAACCUGAAGGCUGAGGACACAGCCAUGUCUUACUGUGCAAGACACAGUAUUUACAUGAGCUCCAUCACCCACUUCCCACAGUGCACAAGAGCCAGCACAGGUCACACAGCCUGGUGUGACCUGACCCUGGACAUUGCAAAACCUGUGACAAUAUGA